CAGGAAUAAUAAAAGAAAUGUCAAGACAGCUCUGAAAAUUCCCAGUCACUUAAACCAAAAGCAUGAAUUGCAUAUGUACUUAGUGGAAAAUUGUAGCCUGUUACCCCUAACCAUGUCUUGAAAAAAGAUGUAACACAGUAAUUAGGUUUGUGGAAAAGUAACUAUCCUGAUUUGUUCAAAAAAUCUAGUCUGAGGAGCUCUGAAAGCAUCAGAGUGCCUUUUUUAUAUACUACAGAUGAGAUUAUUUGUAAUUUCCUGCUGUACGCAUUCACAAAGCCGACAAUGAAAAUGAGCUUGAGGCAAAAGUAAUGUAACGGUUGGCCUUAGGCAACACAGGCUUUCGUGCCAGCUGAUAUUUUGUAGUUUGUUUACUCUUGAUGCAUAGAGCAUAUAGUUCUGUGAUAUUGUUUAGCUCUCCCACAUAUGCAAUUACUUCAGAGUCAAUCCACAGUUUUUUAAUGAUGUUGGGAGAGAUACGACAGAGAAAUCAACAACCUGUUCAGCAUGAGGUUGGCCUCAUGUGUGUCUAGGCUUAUCUGUCUGUUGUAAAAGCUGCUUGUUUUAUGAUGACUGUUUUGUAAUGCUGUGCUUGCAUUUUACAAGGAACAUGUCCAAUAAAACCAUAAAGGUAAUUUUUGAGUAAAGUUUACACCUUUCUCCAUAUGCAAGAGUAUCUAUUUCAUCCCCAGCUGUAGAAAGUGAUUGGUUAUUUAUGUGCUCAUCUGUAAAUAUCAAUUUAGAAUUUUAAACAAAAGAUGAGCAGAAACAAGUUAUAGGAUGUUUGUAUAGUCCCAUUUAUUCAAUUAAAAUUAUUCAUCCAUCCUUUUUCGAUACCCACUUUUUCCAGGGGAGCUGGUGCCUAUCUCCAGCAGUCUAUGGGCAAGAGGCGGGGUACACCCUGGGCAUUUGCUAGUCCACUGCAGGACAGCAUAGAGAUAUACAACCACACACAUACCCAUUCACACCUAAGGACAACUUAGAGACACCAAUUAACCUAACAGGCUAUGCUUUUGGACAGUGGGAGGAAGCCGGAGUACCCGGAGAGAACCCACGUGUGCACGGGGAGAACAUGCAAACUCCAUAGAGAAAGGCCCCUGCCAGGAUUCGAACCCAGAAACUUCUUGCUGCAAGGCAACAGUGCUACCAACUGCACCAUCGUUCAGCCCUCAAUUGAAAUCAACUCAGCCCGUCCGUGCUCAAAUCCAGCAAUCACAUCUGCGUUUCUGAUAGUGGAAAGACGGUGGGCUAUGGAGAUGGUUGUCCUUCCUGCUCGUACCUACAAGAAAACCUGGGUGUUAUUCCACAGGGCAAGUCGAAAU